rnacentral:rRNA from 1 species
GAGAGUUGAUCAUGGCUCAGGAUGAACGCUAGCGACAGGCUUAACACAUGCAAGUCGAGGGCAGCAUAAAGAGCAAUACUUGGUGGCGACCGGCGCACGGGUGAGUAACGCGUAUGCAACCUACCUAUCGAGAGGGGAAUAACCCGGCGAAAGUCGGACUAAUACCGCAUAAAACAGGGGCACCGCAUGGUGAUAUUGUUAAAGAAAUUCGCUGAUAGAUGGGCAUGCGUUCCAUUAGGUAGUUGGUGAGGUAACGGCUCACCAAGCCGACGAUGGAUAGGGGAACUGAGAGGUUGGUCCCCCACACUGGUACUGAGACACGGACCAGACUCCUACGGGAGGCAGCAGUGAGGAAUAUUGGUCAAUGGGCGGGAGCCUGAACCAGCCAAGUCGCGUGAAGGAAAGAAGGAUCUAUGGUUCGUAAACUUCUUUUGCAGGGGAAUAAAGUGCAGGACGUGUCCUGUUUUGUAUGUACCCUGAGAAUAAGGAUCGGCUAACUCCGUGCCAGCAGCUGC